UAGAAACGUGCCAACGGAACAGGGCCGAUUACUGGUUACAGCACUGUACUCAGUACUGUCUACAUGUCGACACCUGCAUCAAUACAGAAGAUUUCUUAUGGAAGAAGGAGCUGUAGUUUGGGCUGGGAAGAACUCGGACUGCGGCUUGUGCUAGGAGAGGAGCUUGGGCUGGGGCUGGAAAGAGCUCGGGCUGGGAGGAGCUGGGCUCGGCUCGGGCAGGGGCUGAAUUUGGGGCCUGGCCUGGCACUCGGGCUGGCAUUCGGGCUGGCGCUCGGGCCUCGGACUAGGUGGUGGAGCUACGACAGGAAAAGGUACUAAGAUAUCCGAAUGAUGCGAUUGACGAUUUAUACUGCCAAGAUAUCCACAAUUCCGUACAACUCUCUACAGCGAUGUUUUAUAGUCUGUAAACUACGACAGCUGAUCCCGAUACUUUUGACACAAUAUUUGAUUAUUCUAGUCGAGUGAGAACAAACUAAAUCAGUCAAGAUGAACUCAGAACUUGCAAGUAACAUUCUAGACUCAGGAAGAAGCGUUUUAGUAACUAAGAAAUGGUGUAUAUUUAACUGUUUAUAU